rnacentral:rRNA from 1 species
CCUACGGGGUGCACCAGUGGGGAAUAUUGCACAAUGGGCGCAAGCCUGAUGCAGCCAUGCCGCGUGUAUGAAGAAGGCCUUCGGGUUGUAAAGUACUUUCAGCGGGGAGGAAGGCGGUGGGGUUAAUAACCUCACCGAUUGACGUUACCCGCAGAAGAAGCACCGGCUAACUCCGUGCCAGCAGCCGCGGUAAUACGGAGGGUGCAAGCGUUAAUCGGAAUUACUGGGCGUAAAGCGCACGCAGGCGGUCUGUCAAGUCGGAUGUGAAAUCCCCGGGCUCAACCUGGGAACUGCAUUCGAAACUGGCAGGCUAGAGUCUUGUUGAGGGGGGUAGAAUUCCAGGUGUAGCGGUGAAAUGCGUAGAGAUCUGGAGGAAUACCGGUGGCGAAGGCGGCCCCCUGGACAAAGACUGACGCUCAGGUGUGAAAGCGUGGGGAGCAAACAGGAUUAGAUACCCCUGUAGUC